rfam:Ictidomys tridecemlineatus contig075188, whole genome shotgun sequence.
UGGGAUGUAGCUCAGGGGCAAAGCAUUUGCCUUACAUUUGUAAAGCCUUGGGUUUGAUCCCAAUGUUCCAA